UACGUAGGGAGCAAGCGUUGUUCGGACUUACUGGGCGUAAAGGGCGCGUAGGCGGCAAUUCAAGUCAUCUGUGAAAUCUCCGGGCUUAACUCGGAACGGUCAGAUGAUACUGCUUUGCUAGAGUGCAGAAGGGGCAAUCGGAAUUCUCGGUGUAGCGGUGAAAUGCGUAGAUAUCGAGAGGAACACCAGAGGUGAAGACGGGUUGCUGGGCUGACACUGACGCUGAGGCGCGAAAGCCAGGGGAGCAAACGGG
rnacentral:rRNA from 1 species